rnacentral:rRNA from 1 species
AUUGAACGCUGGCGGCAUGCCUUACACAUGCAAGUCGAACGGUAACAGGUUAAGCUGACGAGUGGCGAACGGGUGAGUAAUGUAUCGGAACGUGCCCAGUCGUGGGGAUAACUUCCCCAAAGAGCCACUAAUACCGCAUUAGGCCCUAAGGGGAAAACGGGGGGUCGCCAAAACCCGGGCGAUUUGAGCGGCCGAUAUCAGAUUAGGUAGGUGGUGAGGUAAAGGCUCACCAAGCCGACGAUCUGUAGCUGGUCUGAGAGGACGACCAGCCACACUGGGACUGAGACACGGCCCAGACUCCUACGGGAGGCAGCAGUGGGGAAUUUUGGACAAUGGGCGCAAGCCUGAUCCAGCCAUGCCGCGUGCGGGAAGAAGGCCUUCGGGUUGUAAACCGCUUUUGUCAGGGAAGAAAAGGUUCUGGCUAAUACCUGGGACUCAUGACGGUACCUGAAGAAUAAGCACCGGCUAACUACGUG